GAUGAGAAGCUUGCUUCUCUGAUGUUAGCGGCGGACGGGUGAGUAACACGUGGGUAACCUACCUAUAAGACUGGGAUAACUCCGGGAAACCGGGGCUAAUACCGGAUAAUAUUUUGAACCGCAUGGUUCAAUAGUGAAAGACGGUUUCGGCUGUCACUUAUAGAUGGACCCGCGCCGUAUUAGCUAGUUGGUAAGGUAAUGGCUUACCAAGGCGACGAUACGUAGCCGACCUGAGAGGGUGAUCGGCCACACUGGAACUGAGACACGGUCCAGACUCCUACGGGAGGCAGCAGUAGGGAAUCUUCCGCAAUGGGCGAAAGCCUGACGGAGCAACGCCGCGUGAGUGAUGAAGGUCUUCGGAUCGUAAAACUCUGUUGUUAGGGAAGAACAAAUUUGUUAGUAACUGAACAAGUCUUGACGGUACCUAACCAGAAAGCCACGGCUAACUACGUGCCAGCAGCCGCGGUAAUACGUAGGUGGCAAGCGUUAUCCGGAAUUAUUGGGCGUAAAGCGCGCGUAGGCGGUUUCUUAAGUCUGAUGUGAAAGCCCACGGCUCAACCGUGGAGGGUCAUUGGAAACUGGGAAACUUGAGUGCAGAAGAGGAGAGUGGAAUUCCAUGUGUAGCGGUGAAAUGCGCAGAGAUAUGGAGGAACACCAGUGGCGAAGGCGGCUCUCUGGUCUGUAACUGACGCUGAUGUGCGAAAGCGUGGGGAUCAAACAGGAUUAGAUACCCUGGUAGUCCACGCCGUAAACGAUGAGUGCUAAGUGUUAGGGGGUUUCCGCCCCUUAGUGCUGCAGCUAACGCAUUAAGCACUCCGCCUGGGGAGUACGACCGCAAGGUUGAAACUCAAAGGAAUUGACGGGGACCC
rnacentral:rRNA from 1 species